rnacentral:tRNA from 1 species
ACUUCUAUAGCUUAUAUAGAGCAUAAUAUUGAAGAUAUUAGGGAAAUUUAUUAAAUUUGGAAGUA